rnacentral:lncRNA from 1 species
AUGGGGCGCUGGCCGCGACUGCGGUGGCGGUUGUUGGGGGAGCCGCGGGCCCCCGAGAGGCCGUGCGUGGGUCGCCGAAGGCAGGCGGCCGCUCCGUGGCCGCGCGGGACCGCCCCUGUGUGCCCAAACGGGCCGCUGGCGGUGAGACCCCGUUGUGUGUCCCGGAUGCUGCGGUCGUCUGUGCCCGAGGCUUCUCCCUGGAUCCUCGCGGUGGCCCGCCGCCCACCCCCUCCCCGCUCGUCGCCUUCCCCGCGCCUUCCACGGUCGCCUCGGGCUUGCCCGGGGUCUCGUCUCCUCCCGACCCGCUCUCCCGCUCCGCGUCCGCGCGCCCCGGGUGCGCGCCUCGCUUCCCGGGCCCGCCGGGGCCCCUCCCCGAGGCGUCUUGGGUGUCGACGUCCGGGGGCGGCGGCGUGUCCUUCCCCCGCGUUGCGGGGUCCCGUUCGGCGCGUGCGUGCGCCCGAGCGCGCCCCGGUGGUCUCUCCCGGCCAGCCGUCGUGUGUAAGUAAGGUCGACCUCGGCCUGCGGCCGACCGCCCCCCGGUUCGAGAGGGGGGGGCCGGGGCCGGGACCUCCGGUCCCGGUCCGGUCCCUCGUCCGGGUCGGUGGGUCGGCCGGACGGCUUCCGUCGCCUUCUGGCGUCGUUGUGGGUCGGGGCGGUGCCGGUCACCGGCCCCCUCCCCUCCUGCGCCUGCGCCCGCCGGCGUGGCCGGGGUUGGCCCGGCGGCACCCGGACCUCGAACGGGCGGGCGCGCAGGGCGCUGCGGCCGCACGGCGUGACUGUCCCCCGGGUCGGGCACCCCGGGCCGCCUCCCGCUCGCCGCCCGACCGCCGGGGCCCCGCCCCGCGGGGUGGGGUAUCGCCGCGCCCCCUCGCCGCCCCCCACUGCGUCUUCCGCGCGCGUGGCCGCCGACCCCCUCCUGGCUGCCCGGCACAAAACGGGUCGGGCGUUCUGCCCUCCACUCGCACGCGGUUGUGGAGAGAGGCGGGGGUGGGGUGUGGGGUUGGUGGUGGUGGUGGUGGUGGUGGAGGUGGAGGUGAUGGGGCGCGUGCGGUGUGCGCGUGGGACUCGUUCCCCGCGCUCCCGCGCCCGCCUCUCUCCCUCCGCCCUUCCUCUGCCCCGCCCCGCCCCGCCCCGCCCCGCCCCGCCCCACCCCGCCCCACCCCGCCUGGUCCCGCGCCUGCCGGCUACGGGCGGGGAUGA